GCGUAACAAGGUCUCCGUUGGUGAACCAGCGGAGGGAUCAUUACUGAGUUAUCUAAACUCCCAACCCUUUGUGAACCUUACCGUCGUUGCCUCGGCGGGCUGUACUUACCCUGUAGCUACCCUGUAGCUACCCGGUAGGUGCGCUCCAAGCCCGCCGGUGGACCACUAAAUUCUAUUUUACUACUGUAUCUCUGAAUGCUUCAACUUAAUAAGUUAAAACUUUCAACAACGGAUCUCUUGGUUCUGGCAUCGAUGAAGAACGCAGCGAAAUGCGAUAAGUAAUGUGAAUUGCAGAAUUCAGUGAAUCAUCGAAUCUUUGAACGCACAUUGCGCCCAUUAGUAUUCUAGUGGGCAUGCCUAUUCGAGCGUCAUUUCAACCCUUAAGCCUAGUUGCUUAGUGUUGGGAAUCUGCCCUGUAUUUAUAGGGCAGUUCCUUAAAGUGAUCGGCGGAGUUAGGGCAUACUCUAAGCGUAGUAAUAUUCUUCUCGCUUCUGUAGUUGUCCUGGCGGCUUGCCGUUAAACCCCUAUAUUUCUAGUGGUUGACCUCGGAUUAGGUAGGAAUACCCGCUGAACUUAAGCAUAUCAAU
rnacentral:rRNA from 1 species